UCAGAUUUUUGCAUUAUAGACCCCUCUUCUUUUUUCAGUUGGUCAUAAAUUGCUGGGACGGAGAGGGAGAAUGUUUGGAGCUGAAACUUUCCAUGCUUAGGCUUAGCUCUAAAGCCUUACAACAACUGUGGUUUCUGGGAGCCUCUAAACAAGUCAUCCUCAACCCUCUCAAGGUCUGUGUACCUAGCCCUCUGCUUUGUUCGGAGACUUGCAGAAUUUUGUUUACAUAAACUUUGUUGUUCAACCAUGUGAGCUUAGAUAUGCAGUCAGUCUUAUCUCAAAUCCUCUACUGAAACUCAAAAGCAAGAUUGAAAAU